rnacentral:tRNA from 2 species
UGGGGCGUCGUCAAGCGGUUAAGACCCGGGUUUUUGGAGCCCGUAUUCGAAGGUUCGAAUCCUUCCGCCCCAGCCA